GCCCAGUGUUUCCCGGACUCUUUGAGUUCUGCUCCCGUUACACAGGUGCAUCUCUGCAAGGAGCAACCCAGCUGAACAACAAGAUCUGUGAUAUUGCCAUUAACUGGGCUGGUGGUCUACACCAUGCCAAGAAGUUUGAGGCCUCUGGCUUCUGCUAUGUCAAUGACAUUGUAAUUGGCAUCCUGGAGCUGCUCAAGUACCACCCUCGGGUGCUCUACAUUGAUAUUGACAUCCACCAUGGUGA